rnacentral:tRNA from 1 species
GGGGAUGUAGCUCAGAAGGUAGAGUGCUUGCCUAGCCUGCAUAAGGCCCUGGGUUAAUCCCCAGCAUUUCAA